rnacentral:rRNA from 1 species
UGGGGAAUAUUGCACAAUGGAGGGAACUCUGAUGCAGCGACGCCGCGUGAGUGAUGAAGGAAUUCGUUUCGUAAAACUCUGUUCUAUGGGAAGAAAAGGACUGUACCAUAGGAGAAAGCUCCGGCUAAAUAGGUGCCAGCAGCCGCGGUAAUACGUAUGGAGCGAGCGUUGUCCGGAAUUAUUGGGCGUAAAGGGUGCGCAGGCGGCUUUACAAGUUGGAUGUGAAAUAUUGUGGCUCAACCACAAACGUGCAUCCAAAACUGCAAAGCUUGAGUUAAGGAGAGGUAAGUGGAAUUCCUGGUGUAGCGGUGGAAUGCGUAGAUAUCAGGAGGAAUACCGGUGGCGAAGGCGACUUACUGGACUUAAACUGACGCUCAGGCACGAAAGCGUGGGGAGCAAACAGG